rnacentral:rRNA from 1 species
AACAGGAUUAGAUACCCUGGUAGUCCACGCCGUAAACGAUGUCGACUUGGAGGUUGUGCCCUUGAGGCGUGGCUUCCGGAGCUAACGCGUUAAGUCGACCGCCUGGGGAGUACGGCCGCAAGGUUAAAACUCAAAUGAAUUGACGGGGGCCCGCACAAGCGGUGGAGCAUGUGGUUUAAUUCGAUGCAACGCGAAGAACCUUACCUACUCUUGACAUCCAGAGAACUUUCCAGAGAUGGAUUGGUGCCUUCGGGAACUCUGAGACAGGUGCUGCAUGGCUGUCGUCAGCUCGUGUUGUGAAAUGUUGGGUUAAGUCCCGCAACGAGCGCAACCCUUAUCCUUUGUUGCCAGCGGUUCGGCCGGGAACUCAAAGGAGACUGCCAGUGAUAAACUGGAGGAAGGUGGGGAUGACGUCAAGUCAUCAUGGCCCUUACGAGUAGGGCUACACACGUGCUACAAUGGCGCAUACAAAGAGAAGCGACCUCGCGAGAGCAAGCGGACCUCAUAAAGUGCGUCGUAGUCCGGAUUGGAGUCUGCAACUCGACUCCAUGAAGUCGGAAUCGCUAGUAAUCGUAGAUCAGAAUGCUACGGUGAAUACGUUCCCGGGCCUUGUACACACCGCCCGUCACACCAUGGGAGUGGGUUGCAAAAGAAGUAGGUAGCUUAACCUUCGGGAGGGCGCUUACCACUUUGUGAUUCAUGACUGGGGUGAAGUCGUAACAAGGUAAGCCGU